UGAGGAAUAUUGGUCAAUGGGCGAGAGCCUGAACCAGCCAAGUAGCGUGCAGGAUGACGGCCCUAUGGGUUGUAAACUGCUUUUAUAAGGGAAUAAAGUGGGUCACGUGUGACUUUUUGCAUGUACCUUAUGAAUAAGGACCGGCUAAUUCCGUGCCAGCAGCCGCGGUAAUACGGAAGGUCCGGGCGUUAUCCGGAUUUAUUGGGUUUAAAGGGAGCGUAGGCCGGAGAUUAAGCGUGUUGUGAAAUGUCGGGGCUCAACCUGGGCAUUGCAGCGCGAACUGGCAGACUUGAGUGCACGGGAAGUAGGCGGAAUUCGUCGUGUAGCGGUGAAAUGCUUAGAUAUGACGCAGAACUCCGAUUGCGAAGGCAGCUUUCCAGCGCGCUACUGACGCUGAGGCACGAAAGCGUGGGGAUCGAACAGG
rnacentral:rRNA from 1 species